ensembl:lncRNA
CGGUUAGCACGUUCGCCUCACACCUCCAGGGUCGGGGGUUCGAUUCCCGCCGCUGCCCUGUGUGUGCGGAGUUUGCGUGUUCUCCCCGUGCCGCGGGGGUUUCCUCCGGGUACUCCGGUUUCCUCCCCCAGUCCAAACACAUGCAUGGUAGGCUGAUUGGCGUGUCUAAAGUGUCUGUAGUGUAUGAAUGGGUGUGUGAGUGUGUAUGUGAGUGUGCCCUGUGAUGGAUUGGCACCCUGUCCAGGGUGUACCCCGCCUUGUGCCCCACGCUCCCUGGGAUAGGCUCCAGGUUUCCCCGUGACCCUGAAGGAAGGAUAAGC